CAGGGACAGGAGCACACACCAUGAUUUCACACAUCCAGCUGAUCUGGCCCCUGGCAUUCUAUGUCGCAGGUAUCAGUGGGGACAUCAUCAUGACUCAGUCUCCCCCAGUGCUGUCAGUGGGACUGGGCCAGACCGCAACACUCACCUGUAAAUCCAGUCAGAGUGCCAGUGCUGAUGUUUCCUGGUACCAGCAGCGAGAAGGUCAGAAACCCUCUCUCCUGAUCUACGAUGCAGCAACACGAUUCACAGGAGUCUCCAGCAGAUUCACCGGGACACAAGUAUCCAGCACACACUUCACCCUGACAAUCAGCAACGUUCAGAAUGAGGAUGUCGCUGACUAUUACUGUCAGUACGAGUCCAGCCCUUACACAGUGAUACAGGGCUGUACAAAAACCUCAAUACACAUACCACCACCUUCUGUACUGACACAUCCCACUGCUAUAUCUAAUAUAUAUAUAUCUCUGAACACACAGUCCCAACUCCUGUACUGACACAUCCAACAGUUAUAUUAGAUGUAUAAUAAUGGACACAGUCCCGCCACCUGAACUGACAUAUCCGACAGUUAAAUCUAAAUAAAACUGAACA